rnacentral:tRNA from 1 species
GAUGUAUCUCAGUGGUAGAGUGUGUGUUUAGCAUGUGCAAGGUUCUGGGUUGGAUCCCCAGCAUC